rnacentral:rRNA from 1 species
GAGGUAGAUAGGCCAGAGGUGUAAGGGCAGUGAUGCCUUGAGCUGUCUGGUACUAAUGGUUCGAGGGCUUGACCUU